rnacentral:tRNA from 1 species
GGAGAGAUGUCCGAGAGGCCGAAGGAGCACGCUUGGAAAGCGUGUGUACCCUAACCGGGUACCGUGGGUUCGAAUCCCACUCUCUCCG